rnacentral:lncRNA from 1 species
CGGCGGCUCUGCCGCAAACGGCGGCGAUUUGUCUCGGGUUGUCCGUUUUUGGCCGAAUUCAGCCACACUUACAUCGGGGGCCCUCGGUGGGCCAAAAAAAUUCCAGAAAACUGAGACUUACUGGCGGUGAAGCUCUCGGGUACGGCAGCUCCUCCGACACAAGUUACGAGUCGGUGUUUUACUCCGGUCAACCUGUAGAGAAAAGGACCGUGGUCACAGUGGUAUAAAAAUUACAUCAAACGGGAACCGGAAAGGGCCUCAUUGGAGAUAAAAACUAAAAAAAUCAGCGGCGGCACCGCUGGACUUCGGCGAUGUUUUUCAGCCAAUCGGCUGGUGGUUUGGCUCUAAUUUGGCCACAGGGAGGUUCAGCAUCGAAAAACGAGCCAAUGAGAGAAAUUUUACCUUGUUUGGCGGCCGAAAAGUCCUCUGGUGCGGUGGCGGGUGGUGGCGGCGGGUUCCUCCGGUGGCUGGGUCGUCUUCUCCAUCGAGGGUUCUGGCGGCUAAGGUUUGGGGUUGGGUGUGGAUGCGAUUAUUUAUAAUCUUCCCCUUUUAAUCUGAGUCGUCCAUCAUGAUUUAAUCUGAGCCGUCCGAUCGCGAUUAAAUUAGAAAUAAAUCUGGACCAUCCAUCGCGAUGCGAUCUGGGCCGUCCGUGCGUGAUCAAAUCUGGACCGUCUGCACGCGUGAGAUCUGGGCCGUCCACGCGCGCCUUUGAUCUGGGUCGUCUGUGCGCGCGGGAACGGAUCUGGGCCGUCCGAUCGUGCACACGCGGAUCGCCCACGUGUCUCCGUCCCGCG